GCGGGGGUGCCCGAGCUAGGACAAAGGGGGCGGACUUAAGAUCCGCUGGCUUAGGCCUGCGUGGGUUCGAAUCCCACCCCCCGCA
rnacentral:tRNA from 1 species